AUUUACUUGAUCUUGACACUAUCCUACUUGGAUAACUGUGGUAAUUCUAGAGCUAAUACAUGCAUUAAAGCUCUGACCUCACGGGAAGAGUGCACUUAUUAGACCAAAACCAAGCGGCUUCGGCUGUUUCUGGUUGACUCAUAGUAAUUGAGCUGAUCGCACGGUCUUGCACCGGCGACGUGUCUUUCAAGUAUCUGCCGUAUCAACUUUCGAUGGUAGUGUAUCUGACUACCAUGGUGAUCACGCGUAACGGAGAAUAAGGGUUCGACUCCGGAGAGUUCGCCUGAGAAAUCGCGAACACAUCUAAGGAAGGCAGCAGGCGCGAAAAUUACCCACUCUCAGCACGAGGAGGUAGUGACGAAAAAUAACGAGACCGUUCUCUUAUGAGGCCGGUCAUCGGAAUGGGUACAAUUUAAACCCUUUAACGAGUAUCUAUGAGAGGGCAAGUCUGGUGCCAGCAGCCGCGGUAAUUCCAGCUCUCAAAGUGCAUAGAAUUAUUGCUGCGGUUAAAAAGCUCGUAGUUGGAUCUGUGCCAUAGGACGGGGUCUACCUUCGGGUACGCACUUCGCUCCUAGGCUUUUUGCUGGUUUUCCCGUCGUAGCCUUCACUGGUUGCGGCGGGUGGCUGGCGAGUUUACUUUGAGAAAAUCAGAGUGCUCAACACAGGCGUAUAGCUUGAAUGAUUGUGCAUGGAAUAAUAGAAAAGGAUUUCGGUCCUCUUUUAUUGGUUUUGUGGACUGAGAUAAUGGUUAACAGGGACAAACGGGGGCAUUCGUAUCGCUGCGUGAGAGGUGAAAUUCUUGGACCGUAGCGAGACGCCCUACUGCGAAAGCAUUUGCCAAGAAUGUCUUCAUUAAUCAAGAACGAAAGUCAGAGGUUCGA
rnacentral:rRNA from 1 species